AGCAAUUGCAACAACUACGCAUAC
rnacentral:siRNA from 1 species